AUUUAUGUAGUUUAAUUAAUAUAAAACCUUACAUUUUCACUGUAAAAAAAAAUUUUUUUUCAUAAAUA
rnacentral:tRNA from 1 species